UUCGCCCUUAGAGUUUGAUCCUGGCUCAGGAUGAACGCUGGCGGCGUGCUUAACACAUGCAAGUCGAACGAGAGAAGAUCGGUGCUUGCACUGAUCCGAUCGAGUGGCGGACGGGUGAGUAACGCGUGGGUAACCUGCCUCAUACAGGGGAAUAACAGUUGGAAACGGCUGCUAAAACCGCAUAAGCGCACGGUAUCGCAUGAUACAGUGUGAAAAACUCCGGUGGUAUGAGAUGGACCCGCGUCUGAUUAGCUAGUUGGUGAGGUAACGGCCCACCAAGGCAACGAUCAGUAGCCGGCCUGAGAGGUUGAACGGCCACAUUGGGACUGAGACACGGCCCAGACUCCUACGGGAGGCAGCAGUGGGGAAUAUUGCACAAUGGGGGAAACCCUGAUGCAGCGACGCCGCGUGGAGGAAGAAGGUCUUCGGAUUGUAAACUCCUGUUGUUGAGGAAGAUAAUGACGGUACUCAACAAGGAAGUGACGGCUAACUACGUGCCAGCAGCCGCGGUAAAACGUAGGUCACAAGCGUUGUCCGGAAUUACUGGGUGUAAAGGGAGCGCAGGCGGGAAGACAAGUUGGAAGUGAAAUCCAUGGGCUCAACCCAUGAACUGCUUUCAAAACUGUUUUUCUUGAGUAGUGCAGAGGUAGGCGGAAUUCCCGGUGUAGCGGUGGAAUGCGUAGAUAUCGGGAGGAACACCAGUGGCGAAGGCGGCCUACUGGGCACCAACUGACGCUGAGGCUCGAAAGUGUGGGUAGCAAACAGGAUUAGAUACCCUGGUAGUCCACACCGUAAACGAUGAUUACUAGGUGUUGGAGGAUUGACCCCUUCAGUGCCGCAGUUAACACAAUAAGUAAUCCACCUGGGGAGUACGACCGCAAGGUUGAAACUCAAAGGAAUUGACGGGGGCCCGCACAAGCAGUGGAGUAUGUGGUUUAAUUCGACGCAACGCGAAGAACCUUACCAAGUCUUGACAUCCCUUGACGAUGCUGGAAACAGUAUUUCUCUUCGGAGCAAGGAGACAGGUGGUGCAUGGUUGUCGUCAGCUCGUGUCGUGAGAUGUUGGGUUAAGUCCCGCAACGAGCGCAACCCCUAUUUCCAGUAGCCAGCAGUCAGAUGGGCACUCUGGAGAGACUGCCGGGGAUAACCCGGAGGAAGGUGGGGAUGACGUCAAAUCAUCAUGCCCCUUAUGAUUUGGGCUACACACGUGCUACAAUGGCAGUUACAAAGAGAAGCGAAACUGUGAAGUGGAGCAAACCUCAAAAAGGCUGUCUCAGUUCGGAUUGUAGUCUGCAACUCGACUACAUGAAGCUGGAAUCGCUAGUAAUCGCAGAUCAGAAUGCUGCGGUGAAUACGUUCCCGGGCCUUGCACACACCGCCCGUCA
rnacentral:rRNA from 1 species